rnacentral:rRNA from 1 species
CCUACGGGUGGCAGCAGUGAGGAAUAGUGGUCAAUGGGCGCGAGCCUGAACCAGCCAAGUAGCGUGAAGGAUGACUGCCCUACGGGUUGUAAACUUCUUUUAUAAAGGAAUAAAGUGAGGCACGUGUGCCUUUUUGUAUGGACUUUAUGAAUAAGGAUCGGCUAACUCCGUGCCAGCAGCCGCGGUAAUACGGAGGAUCCGAGCGUUAUCCGGCUUUAGUGGGUUUAAAGGGAGCGUAGAGGGGUUGUUAAGUCAGUUGUGAAAGUUUGCGGCUCAACCGUAAAAUUGCCAUUGUUACUGGCAGCCUUGCGUACAGUUGCGGUAGGCGUCAUUCGUGGUGUAGCGGUGAACUUC